CAGAAAAUAGUAUAUUAAUAUAUAAAUUUUGGGGAUUUAAGUUGAUGUAAGUCUUUUCUGA
rnacentral:tRNA from 1 species